GGCGGCCCUCGGGGAGGAACCGAACCCUGCGGCACCUCCUCCUAAAGUACAGGGUGGGAGUCUCAGGAGAAAACUGCUGGGAGGCUUUUAAACAUUUCAGGGAGACACAAAGAAUCUGCAAGAGCCGCAAAAGAUCAGCAAAGUGCAUGCAGGUUUGGCGCAGGGGGAAGAAGGGCUGUCCAUCCCGUGUGCUGGGCACUGCAGAGCUGGUUGCCUCUGGAAAGCCGGUGGCUGCAGGAGCAAGAGCAGGAGCAGAGCCCUCAUUUGAGCACCAAGAAGUAGGUGGUCCAGCCAGCGAGGAGCAGUGCCCCGAGCAGCACCGUGUAGCUGAACAGCACGAAGGCCAGCAGCUCCCUCAGCACCUUGAGGACGUGGAUGGCGAAGGACUCCGGCAUCGCGCUCUCCGGCAGGUAGGAUCCCUGGGGCUGGAUGCUCCUGCUCCUCCCCGGCCUGUAAGCACAGGGACAGGGUGAGUCUUCCCGAGCAGGGAGACUGUAAUUCACAGUUUCUCCCCAGUGGCUCUGCCGUGGGGAGAAACCCUGUGAUCAGGG